GUAGUCUCGCACAGAUGCAUAUCAAUAAGCGGAGGAAAAGAAACUAACAAGGAUUCCCUUAGUAACGGCGAGUGAAGCGGGAAGAGCUCAAAUUUGAAAUCUUCAAGGUUUUACCUUGACGAAUUGUAGUUUAAAGAAGUGUUUUCUGUUGAAGUUUUGGUAAAAGUUCUUUGGAAUAGGACAUCAUAGAGGGUGAGAAUCCCGUAUUUGACCAUUAUUUUCAGCUGUGUGAUACACUUUCAAAGAGUCGGAUUGUUUGGGAAUGCAGUCCAAAAUGGGUGGUAAAUUUCAUCUAAAGCUAAAUAUUGGCGAGAGACCGAUAGCGAACAAGUACCGUGAGGGAAAGAUGAAAAGAACUUUGAAAAGAGAGUUAAACAGUACGUGAAAUUGUCAAAAGGGAAGCGUUUGACACCAGUGUUGUUUUCUCGAAAAUCAAUUAAAAAGAGUUAGAUUUUGUUGUGUAUUGACCUUAACAGCUUGCAUUUCAAUUUUCUUGCUUUUUUUAAUGCACUUUUCGUUUAACAAGUCAACAUCAGUUUCUUUUGUUGUAAAAAGGUCAUUGGAAGGUGGCUUUCUUUUCGGAGAAAGUGUUUAUAGCCUUUGACUCCUGCAAUCGGAGAGACUGAGGUCCGCAGCGUAGAUCCUUCGGGGUUAGAUACAUUUGUGCUAAGUUAUAGCUUUUUAUAGACAACUUGUUGACUAUGAUUAGUCUUGUAGCUUACUCGCUUAUGCUAUUUUACCUACGCUUAGGAUGUUGAAGAUGUAGCACAUCAU
rnacentral:rRNA from 1 species